UACGUAGGGGGCAAGCGUUGUCCGGAUUUAUUGGGCGUAAAGCGCGUGUAGGUGGCCAAGUAGGUCCGCUGUGAAAACUUGAGGCUCAACCUCAAGCUGUCGGUGGAAACCCCUUGGCUAGAGUCCGGAAGAGGCGAGUGGAAUUCCCGGUGUAGCGGUGAAAUGCGCAGAUAUCGGGAGGAACACCUAUGGCGAAGGCAGCUCGCUGGGACGUUACUGACG
rnacentral:rRNA from 1 species